rnacentral:rRNA from 1 species
UGGGGAAUUUUGGACAAUGGGCGAAAGCCUGAUCCAGCAAUGCCGCGUGUGUGAAGAAGGCCUUCGGGUUGUAAAGCACUUUUGUCCGGAAAGAAAUCCUUGGCUCUAAUACAGUCGGGGGAUGACGGUACCGGAAGAAUAAGCACCGGCUAACUACGUGCCAGCAGCCGCGGUAAUACGUAGGGUGCAAGCGUUAAUCGGAAUUACUGGGCGUAAAGCGUGCGCAGGCGGUUUGCUAAGACCGAUGUGAAAUCCCCGGGCUCAACCUGGGAACUGCAUUGGUGACUGGCAGGCUAGAGUAUGGCAGAGGGGGGUAGAAUUCCACGUGUAGCAGUGAAAUGCGUAGAGAUGUGGAGGAAUACCGAUGGCGAAGGCAGCCCCCUGGGCCAAUACUGACGCUCAUGCACGAAAGCGUGGGGAGCAAACAGGAUUAGAUACCCUGGUAGUCCACGCCCUAAACGAUGUCAACUAGUUGUUGGGGAUUCACUUCCUUAGUAACGUAGCUAACGCGUGAAGUUGACCGCCUGGGGAGUACGGUCGCAA